UGCCGGAUCGUAUAGCGGUUAUUACUUCAGACUCUGACUCUGAAAACCCUGACGGUCCGCGGUUGCGGUUCGAUUCCAGGGCCGGUAA